rnacentral:rRNA from 1 species
UACAGAGGUCUCGAGCGUUGUUCGGAUUCAUUGGGCGUAAAGGGUGCGUAGGUGGUCAGGUAAGUCUGAUGUGAAAGCUCUGGGCUCAACCCAGAAAUGGCAUUGGAUACUAUCUGGCUAGAGGAAUGGAGGGGGGACUGGAAUACUUGGUGUAGCAGUGAAAUGCGUAGAUAUCAAGUGGAACACCAGUGGCGGAAGGCGAGUCCCUGGACAUUUCCUGACACUGAGGCACGAAAGCUAGGGGAGCAAACAGG